rnacentral:rRNA from 1 species
UACGUAGGAUGCAAGCGUUGUCCGGAAUUAUUGGGCGUAAAGAGCGCGCAGGCGGUCUGACAAGUCAGAUGUGAAAUAGGCCGGCUUAACCGGCAAGGGUCAUUUGAAACUGUCAGACUAGAGUGCAGCAGAGGAUAGUGGAAUUCCCGGUGUAGUGGUGAAAUGCGUAGAUAUCGGGAGGAACACCAGUGGCGAAGGCGACUAUCUGGGCUGCAACUGACGCUGAGGCGCGAAGGCUAGGGUAGCAAACAGG